UACGAAGGGGGCUAGCGUUGUUCGGAAUUACUGGGCGUAAAGGGCGCGUAGGCGGACAGUUUAGUCGGGGGUGAAAGCCCGGGGCUCAACCUCGGAAUUGCCUUCGAUACUGGCUGUCUUGAGUACGGGAGAGGUGUGUGGAACUCCGAGUGUAGAGGUGAAAUUCGUAGAUAUUCGGAAGAACACCAGUGGCGAAGGCGACACACUGGCCCGUUACUGACGCUGAGGCGCGAAAGCGUGGGGAGCAAACAGG
rnacentral:rRNA from 1 species